GCGCACAGCUCCUUCUGUUCCUAGCUGCAACGUCGGGCUUGCAACCCCACGGAAAAGCGGCCAGCAGAAAGGCCGGGAAAGCCGCUAGGGUUCCCCAAGGGCUCGGCUUUCACUAGUCACUCUGGCCCCUCCUCGCCCUACUUUCAUCUGGAGCUGCGGCGAAGCUCCUCCUUCCGUCCGUCCCUCCCUCCCAGCCUAUCUUGUCCGUCCGCCCUUUUCCUCGCGCGCCCCUCCUCUGCUGCGGGUUUAGGGGACUCCUUGCUGCACGUGAAGCUGCCUUUGUUGGAAAGGCAGGUUACAUCAAUCCAGGACUAAGACAUUCAUGGCAGGAUACAUCCUUGUGAUCUCUUCAUCCCAUUGCCGAGGCUACCUAUCUGCCCCCAGACCUAUUGCAAGUUAGGGAGAACUGUUGAUGGAUAGCCACCAAAAACUGUUAAGUAGUACCACACUCCAGCCUCAUUGCCAAGACUGUUAACUAUUGCAACUAAGCAAAUUACAAUUACAUUCUUUUGUGCUCAGCCACAAACUGCAGAAAGGCUGUUAACCUGGUUGUCUAAUAAACCUGAAGACCAUCAAUAAUUUCUAAUCAUCAUGACUAUAUGUUACUUUUUGUAAGAGAAACUGUAUGCCUGCCAAUAGUUGUUACCAAGGAAAGAGAAAAGGUGUGACUCUUAUUCUGCUUAGGAACUGCAUUUUAGGUUUAUGGCUAACUGCAGUGAGGAUAGGAUGCUGAUUUGAUUAGAUCUCUGGCCUGAUCCUGGGGUCUUUUAUUAGAAGAUAGACAGGGAUGUGGUCAGGCUGAUUUAAGCACUUAAUUAGCAGCAGGAGCUCCAAUUCCAAACAUGCCUUUUGUUAUAAUUCAUUUUUGUUAUUUUAUGAUGCCUUAUGAAUAUAUAGAAAAACCUUUAAAAUGUUAUAUAUGUUCCAAAACAUUUUCCCAUUAGAAUUCUGAAACCUAUCCAAAGUAUGAUGGCAUUCAGUGGCUAUAAAUAUUGGGUUGUUAGAGCUGAAUUUUUUUUUAAAAAAAUAGUAUCAAUAAAACAGCUUAUUUUAUUCAUAAAAAAGACGUUGGCCCAAUAUAUAACUUUAUCAAAUUACUUGCUUUGCUUUCUUCCCCCCAUCACAUGUCACCUUAUGAAGAUGGAUCCCUGCCUUAUCACAAGUGGGCAUAAAUCUUUCACCUCCUCUGAAUUGAGUUCUCCUCUCUUUCUCGCUCAAGCAGCUUUGAGAAAGAGCUGCAGAAUAAGGAUGACACUACCUCACUUGCCCAGUACAAAAUGAAACUUCUCAUUCACAGCCUGUACCAGCUGUGGCUAAUCCACAAAAUUGGACACACACUGACUUUAGUCAUAAACUGAAGAGCUCCUUUACCCAUGGUACAGAGGCACACACACACACAUACACACCCCAAAGCGAGAAUUUUUCUCUUUGAACUGAUAUCACAAACCAGGUUUGAAAAUUUUGUUGAGUGGCUGUGCAGCUUUGGAAUAGGGCAUUUUAACAAAAUUGGUAGACUUAAAUCACUUUCAAUUAUUCAUUAACUCACUGGAGAGCAAAUUCUAAGUUCCAAUUCAACAUGUGUUUUUUAAAUUAAAGUUAUUACAAUAUUUGGACACUUGUAUCUUAUUUCCCUAUGAUAAAAUUAAAUUCAAAACAAUUUAACAAAUGUCAAAAAAAAAAAAAAAGGUUGCAGCUUUUCCAAAUAGGGAAACAGAUUGAAAGAUGGAGGCUUCUACUAAAAUUGUAGAACAUUUUAUAUCUAAGCAAGUAACAACAAUCCUCAGUGAACCAUUUAUGAAGCAGGCCCAUCACCUCUGAAUCCUAAAUAUUGGACACAAGUUUUAGAAAUCUAGGAUCUUCGUGCUUUGCUUCUGAAUAUUCAGAGAUAUUCAAUUACAGAAUUCAAAGAUAAUUAGAUUGCUUACUGCAGAUUAGUUACUUCUGUGUUUUCAGCAUAUUCAUUUACAUAUCAGCAAAAAGUAUCUAUACAGACAUAUAUACAAUAUGCUUACAUAACAUAUGUAUUUCUUCUGGUAUCAACAUAGCAUUUAGAAUACGUCUAUUUACAAUAACAUAAAAAGACAUAUUUUUAAGUUUUUUUUUUUAACUAUGGCAAAACACCUUAAGCAGAACAAGAAUUUAUCAGGCAAGUGUAAAAAAUAGAGAUUUAUCUAAAAUGUAUUUCCCCCCCACAAAUCAACGAAAUAUGUCUAGUCAGGAUAGUUUGAAUAUCUUGAGCAUGUUGCUCUGUAAUAUUGGUAGAGCCCCAAAUAAGACAGUAUUACUGCGACAAUUAUAUACUUUGUUUUGUUUACCCAACUUCACAUCUUUCCUUUCAAACAUAACAUCAAUCUUUUAUUUUCUUUAAAAAUAAUGUUUAGAUUGUACUAGGUUUUGUUUUCGUUUAGAUUUUCUCUGUUCAUUUAUCCCUCCUGUAAGUCGUUAUUUUUAGUGGUUUCCUUGUAUAAGUGAAUAAAAUUGUAAAUAACACAUGGUUGUUUAAAUAACACACACUUGCAUGGAAAUAAUAAAGCUUUUCUUUCGUUUUUAUAAACAAUAUUAUUGUCCCAAUCCAUAUUGAGCUUUCCUUCCCUUCCGUCCUUCCACACCAUUUGUCUCUUGCCUACUUCACCAGAUUCUGGCCACUUUACUACAAUGAUAGAUGCAUAAAAUCUAACAAUAAAAUCAGCAUAGGACUACAUGUCACCUAACAGCUGAAAACAUAACCCUCAAGUGCAAGAGCAUCCAAUAUUCUUUCAACUCAUCUUCCAAAGCUUUGACCAAGGUGGGUGGUUUUCAUCUGCUACCAGAAUGUCAUGAAAGAGUGGGCCAUUCUCACCUCUGGGAGGAG